rfam:Schistosoma margrebowiei strain Zambia genome assembly, scaffold: SMRZ_scaffold0004785
AUCUAGUUGAUGAAUCUUAAAUAGGACGAAACCUGUGUCCUGGAU